GACGAACGCUGGCGGCGUGCUUAACACAUGCAAGUCGAGCGGUAAGGCCCUUUCGGGGGUACACGAGCGGCGAACGGGUGAGUAACACGUGGGUGACCUGCCCUCAGCUCUGGGAUAAGCCUGGGAAACUGGGUCUAAUACUGGAUAUGACUCCACGGUGCAUGUCGUGGGGUGGAAAGCCUUGUGCGGCUGAGGAUGGGCCCGCGGCCUAUCAGCUUGUUGGUGGGGUGANGGCCUACCAAGGGGCGACGACGGGUAGCCGGCCUGAGAGGGCGACCGGCCACACUGGGACUGAGACACGGCCCAGACUCCUACGGGAGGCAGCAGUGGGGAAUCUUGCGCAAUGGGCGAAAGCCUGACGCAGCGACGCCGCGUGA
rnacentral:rRNA from 1 species